GCCAAACAAACUAAACCAAUGUGCUCCUCUUUAUCUUUUUUCAACUGAGAAGUGGAAAUGACUUUGGAAUCUAUUUCCCAAAAGAAAGGGAAAACUGGUGGGCUGGGGAGGGUUGGGUACCCUGAAGCUCACUGAAUGGGGGAACUCAUCUGAAGCCCAAGAAUAUAAGGAUCUAUACUCCACUGUUAGGUGAAGGGAAACUUGGUGAGGCCGAGCCUGCUGCUUCUCCAAUUUCUUCUUUUUAUAAUAGAACUCCCAAAUUUCACUGGCACCCACUACUUCCCAGAAGAAAGGGCACAUUUCCCAGCCCCCCUUACGACUAAAGUGAGGCCAUGUGACUAUCUUCUAGCCAAUCAUACAGAAGAAAAGAUGCUUGAAACCUCAGGUUAAUGGUGUUAGAAAAGAGAGAAGUCCUGCCCUUUCCUUCUGCUUUUUCCCUUGCACUGGUUGAAUGCGAGUGUCCUGUAAGAGCUGAGCGCCACUGUAUGCAUAGAAAGCUUGACAGACAACGAGAUACAAAACUUCAGAAUCCCUGACACUACAGAGCCGCUGCCACCUCCGCACCACCAACCGGGACUGUUCACACUCAAGGGGCUCGUUUUGAGACAUUUGCCAGCGCAGCACCACGAGGUGAACAAUCCCAUUUUUGCCAACAUCUGCCUUCUGACGAAGCCCACCAGAAACACACCUGCAGGCAAGGAAAUUCAGGAUUAUUGACUCUCUGCACCAGAGGUGAUGGGACAGCAUGGGGACCGUGGAGCAUCUCCUCGUGGGUAACUCGGCGUCAGAGAAAUACAAAUCAAAACCACAGUGAGGUAUCCCCUCACAGCAGGUAGAACGGUUAAAAUUAACAAGUCAGGAAACAAUAGGUGUUGGUGAGGAUGCAGAGAAGGGUGUACCCUUGUUCACUGUUGGGAAGGCAAACUGGUGCAGCUACUCUGGAACACUGUGUGGAGGUUCCUCACGAAGUUAAAAAUAGAGCUACUACUAGGGAUUUAUCACAAACAUGGUGAUUAGAAGGAGCAUCUGCACCCCAAUGUUCACAGCAGCAAUGUCCACAAUAGCCAAACUGUGGGAGGAGCCCAGAUGUCCAUCAACGGAUGAAUGGAUAAAGAUGUAGUAUAUAAAUAUACAAUGGAAUAUUACUCAGCCAUCAAAAAGAAUGAAAUCUUACCAUCUGUAAUGACAUGGAUGGUAUUGCAAUGACUAGAUGGUAUUAUGCUAAGGGAAAUAAGUCAGUCAGAGAAAGACGAAUACUAUAUGAUUUCAUUCCUAUGUGGAAUUUAAGAAACAAAACACAUGAACAUAGGAGGAGAGAAGGAAAAAUAAAAUAAGACAAGAGAGGGGGGCAAACCAUAAGAGACUCUUAACUUCAAGAAACAAACUGAGGGUUGCUGGAGGGGAGGUGGUUAGGGAGAUGUGGUAAGGGGGUGAUGGGCUUUAAGGAGGGCACUUGAUGUGAUGAGCUCUGGGUGUUAAAUGCAACUGAUGAAUCACUGAAAUCUACCUCUGAAAUUAAUAAUGUACUAUAUGUUAAUUAAAUUGCAUUUAAAUAAAAUUUUUAAGCAGGGGGAGUUGGAAGGGGCUCACUGUGGGCUUUGGGCUUGUGUUGAAUGAUUUUCAGAGGAACUGGGGAAGGGGGAACCUGGGAUGCUGCCGUGAAGCAGAGGCAGGUUAGGAACUGGGUGUGUGGCAGUCAUCCCGUUGUUCAGAAGGCAAGAGAAUGAAGUGGUGCUGAGGAAGCCAUGGGGAGACAAGCUGCCCUUAGGUAAGAAAGCGGGGACCAUUUGAAAGGAGAGAGGUCCCCUCAUCAUUCUGCAGCUGUGGUAUUGCCUUGGAGACCCUGGAUAUGCAGCCUCGAUCAUGCCCUAUCAGAAGCUCUUCUUCUUCUCUUCUUCUUCUUCUUCUUCUUCUUCUUCUUCUUCUUCUUCUUCUUCUUCUUCUUCUUUUUAGGUUUUAUUAGGAACAUCACAGUCUGUUAAGAAGCCACUACUUUCAACGAACAAAAGCAGCGUUCCCAGGUUCACACCUGCCACCUUCCUCCUGUUCACCAUCACCAGCCUCAGACUCACUGGUCUGGCCACUGGAUUCACAGGGAAUGUGACUCUGUUUUUACCCAAAGGAAGUAUAGACACAGCCAAAGUGUUUAAGAACUCCAUGUCUUAAGCACCUUCAGUGUC
rnacentral:lncRNA from 1 species